rnacentral:rRNA from 1 species
UACGUAGGGUGCGAGCGUUGUCCGGAAUUAUUGGGCGUAAAGGGCUCGUAGGCGGUUUGUCGCGUCGGGAGUGAAAUCCACUGGCUUAACUGGUGGCUUGCUUUCGAUACGGGCAGACUGGAGGUAUGCAGGGGAGAACGGAAUUCCUGGUGUAGCGGUGAAAUGCGCAGAUAUCAGGAGGAACACCCGUGGCGAAGGCGGUCUC